ACGAACAGCCUUCCAGAAGAGCAACGUUCCUGCUGAUUGGCUUGAGCCAUAUUUUCGGCAUUACGCCAAAAGCCGGACCACGCCAGGCAUGUUCCAGUCCCAGGGUCUUUGCACCUGCUGUACUCUCUGCCUGAAAAGCUCCUCUAGCACCGGAAAUGUAUCUUCAGAGAGGCCUUCUGACUACCCUUACCUAAUAUCUCUCUGCUGCCUCUUUCUAUUUCAUCACUCAAUUUUAUUUUUGUCAUGAACCCUACAGCUUUUUGAAAUUGCUUAUUCACUCUCCCAAACACAUACACUAGAAUACCCACUCUAUGAGAAAAAAAAAACCUUGCCUGUCUUUUUUCCACCACUCAUAUCCCCACUGACAAGCAAAGUGCUUAGGACAUGGAAAGUUCUCAAUACUCUAUAUAUUUGGUGAGUGAAUAAACAAUGAACCAACUUA